GCAGGUGUAGUACAAUGGUUCGUAUGCGGCCUUGCCAAGGCUGAGAUGCGGGUUCGAUUCCCGUCACUUGCUCCA
rnacentral:tRNA from 1 species